UACGGAGGGUGCGAGCGUUGUCCGGAAUUACUGGGCGUAAAGAGCUCGUAGGCGGUUUGGCGCGUCUGCUGUGAAAACUGGAGGCUCAACCUCCAGCCUGCAGUGGGUACGGGCAAACUAGAGUGCGGUAGGGGAGAUUGGAAUUCCUGGUGUAGCGGUGGAAUGCGCAGAUAUCAGGAGGAACACCGAUGGCGAAGGCAGAUCUCUGGGCCGUAACUGACGCUGAGGAGCGAAAGCAUGGGGAGCGAACAGG
rnacentral:rRNA from 1 species